rnacentral:rRNA from 1 species
GGUCAAUGGGCGCAAGCCUGAACCAGCCAUGCCGCGUGAAGGAUGACGGCCCUAUGGGUUGUAAACUUCUUUUGUACGGGAAAAAACCUCUGGUCGUGUACCAGAGCUGAUGGUACCGUAAGAAUAAGCAUCGGCUAACUCCGUGCCAGCAGCCGCGGUAAUACGGAGGAUGCAAGCGUUAUCCGGAUUCAUUGGGUUUAAAGGGUGCGCAGGCGGAAUAAUAAGUCAGUGGUGAAAGCCUACAGCUUAACUGUAGAACUGCCAUUGAUACUGUCAUUCUUGAGUAUUGUUGAGGUAGGCGGAAUGUGUCAUGUAGCGGUGAAAUGCUUAGAUAUGACACAGAACACCGAUCGCGAAGGCAGCUUACCAAGCAAUAACUGACGCUCAUGCACGAAAGCGUGGGGAUCAAACAGGAUUAGAUACCCUGGUAGUCCACGCCGUAAACGAUGAUCACUCGAUGUUGGCGAUACACAGUCAGCGUCUUAGGGAAACUAUUAAGUGAUCCACCUGGGGAGUACGGUCGCAAGAUUGAAACUCAAAGGAAUUGACGGGGGCCCGCACAAGCGGAGGAGCAUGUGGUUUAAUUCGAUGAUACGCGAGGAACCUUACCUGGGCUCGAACGUGGAAUGACAGUCGCGGAAACGUGAUCUUCUUCGGACAUUCUACGAGGUGCUGCAUGGUUGUCGUCAGCUCGUGCCGUGAGGUGUCGGGUUAAGUCCCAUAACGAGCGCAACCCCUAUCUUUAGUUGCCAUCAGGUAAUGCUGGGGACUCUAAAGAAACUGCCUACGCAAGUAGUGAGGAAGGCGGGGAUGACGUCAAAUCAGCACGGCCCUUACGUCCAGGGCUACACACGUGCUACAAUGGCCGGUACAGAGGGCAGCUACCUGGUGACAGGAUGCAAAUCUCCAAAGCCGGUCUCAGUUCGGAUCGAAGUCUGAAACUCGACUUCGUGAAGUUGGAUUCGCUAGUAAUCGCGCAUCAGCCAUGGCGCGGUGAAUACAGUGCCCGGGCCUUGUACACACCGCC